GUUGAUGUAGCUUAAUUAAAGCGAAGCACUGAAAAUGCUAAGAUGGAUUCCUUAGAUCCCAUAAACA
rnacentral:tRNA from 1 species